GUUUGACAAGUACUGGUCUACGAAUGUUGUGCCCACAAGCCUGGGCUUUCAAGGCCAUUUUGUGACCAGGAGGAAAUAUCAAGAGAGUGGCAUAAUGACCUGCAACAGGAAGCAAAGGCAAAGCACAGCUGAUUUUAUGAUUGAAGAAAACAGGAAAAAUAAUGUGAAAAGAGAAGAAACUCCAAGGAGAGAAGAAUGCAAGCUAUAAGUGGUGUCUAGGAGGGCCAAAAGGAACCAUCAGCACAGAGGUGGCAUUUACAGGCUCAGGAGUGGAGUAGGUCCCAAGGGGAGAGUGUGGAUAGAGAAGAGAUGAGAAGGAGUCAGGAGAGACCUUUGAGACACACUAAUGUCUUGAAGCCAAGAAGAGGAAAAGGCGCCUGAGAAGUAGUCAGAAAUGUAAGGGUGCUAUAUUUAAUAGGCCCUUAUGUGCUAAUUAAAAAAAUAUUUUAAUGUAUUGAGGUAACAUUACAUAAAUUUCAUGUGUACGACAUUAUAUUUCGACUUCUGUAUACACUAUAGCUUGUUUACUGUCAAAAGUUUAGUUUCUGUCAGCCAGCAUACAGUUGAUCCCUUUACCCAUGUCUCCUUCCUCCCCAGUUCCCUUCUCCUCUGGUAAACACUACUCUGUUCUCUGUAUCUCAGUGUUUGUUUUCAUUUGGCUUGGUUAGAUCAUUUUUUUUUUUAAUUCCACAUAUAACUGAAACUUUUAUGUAGGUUAACCACUUUAAUCUUAAACUUCCAGAACUAGUUAGAAAGUGAAGUCUGUCCAAGCCCCUCCACUGGCCAGCUGUGUGACCUUGGGCAAGUCAACUAGCCUCUCUGUAACUCAGUUUCCUCACCUGUAAAAUGAAUUUAUAAAUAUAUCUACGUCAUAGGAUUUAUGGUUGGAUUAAAUGGAUGAAUAUGUAUAAAGCCCCUAGAACAGUGCUUAGGACCUUUAAAAUAAUAAUAAACUGACUUAUGACCAAGUCAUUGUUUUUAUCAACCAUGGUGCCACAGUGUGGAAAACUGAAAUAUUUCAUUUCAGAUAUCAUUUCCACCUUCAUUCCCCACAACCAAAUCUUUUUAUGAGAUGCUGAAUGUUAAUAAAACUCACUUUACUUUCUUUCUUGUCUAUGGAGUGACUAAGUAUACUGUUUUCCCCUCAGAAAAAAAGGUUAGUUCAGAGUUGGAAUGAGGCAAAAAUGCUCAUACAACUAGCCAACCAAAUAAUCAGCCCUCAUAUAAGUAUAUAAUGUGUUGACCAUUAUUUUUUUAAAGGUAUAUACUUAAAUGUUUUAUUCAUAGGUGCAUGGGAUUAAAAAGUUUAGAAGUCACUGAUUUAGACAAUGAUGUAUGGGUUUAGCUUUUCUACUGAGUAUCUUGGGUUUUAUCUCUGCCUGACCUCUCCUCUGCCCAAACUUCUCUCAACCUCCUAAAGUCUUUGUAAAGUGAAACAAAUUGCAAUAACUCCUCUGCAUGUACCUUUGUAUAAAUAUUUAUUCCAUAUUGUUACAUACUUGCUUGCAUAUUUUACAUUUGUCCACAUUAGUGUUGUCUUUCAUUAGUUCUGGCUAUUUAAAAUACUAAAGAUAUUAAUGAUUAAAUUUUCUUUUUGUAGUA